AACGCGAAGAACCUUACCAAGGCUUGACAUACGCCGGAAAGCAUCAGAGAUGGUGCCCCCCUUGUGGUCGGUGUACAGGUGGUGCAUGGCUGUCGUCAGCUCGUGUCGUGAGAUGUUGGGUUAAGUCCCGCAACGAGCGCAACCCUUGUUCUGUGUUGCCAGCAUGCCCUUCGGGGUGAUGGGGACUCACAGGAGACUGCCGGGGUCAACUCGGAGGAAGGUGGGGACGACGUCAAGUCAUCAUGCCCCUUAUGUCUUGGGCUGCACACGUGCUACAAUGGCCGGUACAAUGAGCUGCGAUGCCGUGAGGCGGAGCGAAUCUCAAAAAGCCGGUCUCAGUUCGGAUUGGGGUCUGCAACUCGACCCCAUGAAGUCGGAGUUGCUAGUAAUCGCAGAUCAGCAUUGCUGCGGUGAAUACGUUCCCGGGCCUUGUACACACCG
rnacentral:rRNA from 1 species